CCAAUAGCGUAUAUUAAAGUUGUUGCAGUUAAAAAGCUCGUAGUUGGAUUUCGGGGUCAGUAGGUUGGUCGUGCCACCGGUAUGCACUGAUCUCACUGAUUCCUCCUUCCUGAUGGGCCGUAAUGCCAUUAAUUUGGUGUUGCGGGGAAUCUGGACUGUUACUUUGAAAAAAUUAGAGUGUUUAAAGCAGGCUAACGCUUGAAUACAUUAGCAUGGACUAAUGAAAUAGGACGAUCGAUCCUAUUUUGUUGGUUUCUAGGAUUGACGUAAUGAUUAAUAGGGAUAGUUGGGGGCAUUAGUAUUCAAUUGUCAGAGGUGAAAUUCUUGGAUUUAUUGAAGACUAACUACUGCGAAAGCAUUUGCCAAGGAUGUUUUCAUUAAUCAAGAACGAAAGUUAGGGGAUCGAAGACGAUCAGAUACCGUCGUAGUCUUAGCCAUAAACUAUGCCGACUAGGGAUCGGAUGAUGUUAAUUUUUUAAUGACUCAUUCGGCGCCUUACG
rnacentral:rRNA from 1 species